GCUAACGUAGCUUACCUAAAGCAUAACACUGAAGAUGUUAAGACGGGCCCUAGAAAGCUCCGUAAGCA
rnacentral:tRNA from 1 species